UUUUGUUUCUCUUGUAUAAAUUGCAGCGCUCUGUCGUUCUCCGAAGGCAAACCAGAGUCGAGACUUCUAAUCCAUAACUUUCGUUUAAUAGUGGUCUUUAGGCUUUGAUCGACGGCUAACAUUUUAUCAUGAAUCUGUAGUUUUAUUUUAUUACAUUUGAUUCGUAUUGUGGUUUUGUGUUUAUAAAUUUUUAUGCACUAUGCUUCGAAGGCUUUGUCAAAUUGAAUGGCAUAGUCUUGGAGCAAACAGUGCAUAAAUUGAGAGCUGUUAGAUCAGCAAGCGGCCAGACAACCGUCGGGAUAGAUCCACAGGUCAUACCCCGUUCUGGUGGCAUGGCCAUUUUUCGAGGAUGCGUAAAGGAAUUGCUAUUAAAUCAGCAAGCGGCCAGACAACCGUUGGGAUAGAUCCACAGGUGUUAUGCGGCUUCUCUCUCCGCUCUCAGCUACUAAAUCUAUCCCACAAUUUUUGAUCCUUGUGAAUUUUUGUACAUUUGUUGUUAUGUUUCGCAUGAGGUUGGUUCGUGUAAGAUGUCCGAGUUCUUUAGCAAAAGAGUCAAGUUGUGGGUGUUGGUUCGUGACAUUGCAGAUAUGCACGGUUGGGAUGAUGGAGAGUAAAGACAUUCAGAUCUGCAAAUCUUAUUGUCCCCCGUAGCUUUGAAAAAAUUGAUAGGGUGUAUGAGUUUGUUGACCUGAAUGUCUUUCUCUUCAUCAAAACAGCUUAUACUUUGUUAUGGUAGGCUUCGGUCCCAAUUUUUUUACUAAUGGAGAAUACUUCUGAGAUGGUUAGAGUGGUUUUAGGGAAUCAAUUGUAAUGAUGAAGUGUUGGUUGUUGAACAAAAUGUUUUAAGUGUCAGUUAAGUCCAUGUUUUUGUUUCUCUUGCUA